GAUGAAGAACGCAGCGAAAUGCGAUAAGUAAUGUGAAUUGCAGAAUUCAGUGAAUCAUCGAAUCUUUGAACGCACAUUGCGCCCGCCAGUAUUCUGGCGGGCAUGCCUGUUCGAGCGUCAUUACAACCCUCAGGCCCCCGGGCCUGGCGUUGGGGAUCGGCGGAGCCCCCCGUGGGCACACGCCGUCCCCCAAAUGCAGUGGCGGUCCCGCCGCAGCUUCCAUCGCGUAGUAGCUAACACCUCGCGACUGGAGAGCGGCGCGGCCACGCCGUAAAACACCCAACUCUUCUGAAGUUGACCUCGAAUCAGGUAGGAAUACCCGCUGAACUUAAGCAUAUCAAUAAGCGGGGGA
rnacentral:misc_RNA from 1 species